ACCUCCCACAUUCUUCUCUGCCAGGCAGCUUUCCAUCCACUCUUCCCCCACUCUGUAGCAUUGCAUGGGGUUGUUGUGCCCCAAGUGCAGGACCAAGCACUUGGCCUUGUUGAACUUCAUAAAGCUGGCCUCAGCCCAUGGGUCCAGCCUAUUCAGAUCCCUCUGCAGAGCCCUCCUAUCCUCGAGCAGAUCAACACUCUUUCUUAACUAGGUGU